UUCCGGUUGAUCCCGCCGGAGGCUACCGCUAUUGGAGUUCGAUUAAGCCAUGCGAGUCGCGAGAAAUUAGAUUCUCGGCGUACCGCUCAGUAACACGUGGGUAACCUGCCCUAUGCUGGAUAAUAACCUCGGGAAACUGAGAAUAAUGAUCCAUAGUUCACUACGCCUGGAACGGUGAGUGGAUGAAAGCUCCGGCGGCAUAGGAUGGGCCUGCGGCGUAUCAGGUUGUAGGGGGUGUAACGUACCCUCUAGCCCUCUACGCGUACGGGUGUUGGGAGACAUAGCCCGGAGAUGGAUUCUGAGACACGAAUCCAGACCCUACGGGGUGCAGCAGGCGCGAAAACUUGGCAAUGCGAGAAAUCGUGACCAGGGAACUCCAAGUGCAUGGGGUAAGACCCAUGCUUUUCUUGACUCUAAAUAGGUCUUGGAAUAAGGGGUGGGUAAGGACGGUGCCAGCCGCCGCGGUAAUACCGGCGCCUCAAGUGGUAGUCGCUUUUAUUGGGCCUAAAACGUCCGUAGCCGGUCUGAUACAUUCGUGGGUAAAUCAACCAGCUUAACUGGUUGAAUUCUGCGAGGACGGUCAGACUUGGGACCGGGAGAGGUGUGGGGUACGCUCAGGGUAGGGGUAAAAUCCUGUCAUCCUGAGCGGACCACCUGUUUCGAAGGCGCCACACUAGAACGGAUCCGACGGUCAGGGACGAAGCCUAGGGGCACGAACCGGAUUAGAUACCCGGGUAGUCCUAGGUGUAAACGCUGUGGACUUGAUGUUGGGGGUGCUCCGAGCACUCUCAGUGUCGAAGCGAAGGUGAUAAGUCCACUGCCUGGGAAGUACGGUCGCAAGGCUGAAACUUAAAGGAAUUGGCGGGGGAGCACCGCAACCUGAGGAUUGUGCGGUUUAAUUGGAGUCAACGCCGGA
rnacentral:rRNA from 1 species